rnacentral:RNase_P_RNA from 1 species
UUGUGAAAACGGAUAGUCGCUAUAUAUUCGCUAUAUAGAGGAAAGUCCGGACUCCUUGGAGGAAAAGUGCCAGAUAACGUCUGGCGGCGCUGAUAUAGCGUUAGGGAAAGUGCAACAGAAAAUAUACCGCCUUUAUGGUAAGGGUGAAAUGGCGAGGUAAGGGCUCACCGCAUAGUUGGUAACAAUUAUGGCAGUGCAAACCCCACUUGGAGCAAGAUCGAAUAGGAAUAACGCCGUUCCUUCCGGCUAUGUUAUUCGGGUAGAUCGCUUGACGGUUACGGCAACGUAAACGCUAGAUGAAUGACUAUCGGGAUGUUUUUAUCUUACAGAAUCCGGCUUACAGUUUUCGCAAAAAC